rnacentral:SRP_RNA from 1 species
GGUCGGGUCCCAUGCAAGUACCGCGCGUGAACCGGGUCAGGCGGGGAACCGAGCAGCCCUAAACGGCCGGCGGGCUGUGCCGUGGCAAACCCGACCACU